GUGGGGAAUCUUCCGCAAUGGACGAAAGUCUGACGGAGCAACGCCGCGUGAGUGAAGAAGGUUUUCGGAUCGUAAAGCUCUUUCGUUAGGGACGAACGUGCUCUUUGUGAAUAAUGAGGAGUAAUGACGGUACCUAAAUAAGAAGCCACGGCUAACUACGUGCCAGCAGCAGCGGUAAUACGUAGGUGGCAAGCGUUGGCCGGCAUUAUUGGGCGUAAAGCGCGCGCAGGCGGGAUAUCAAGUCUGUCUUAAAAGUGCGAGGCUCAACCUCGUGAGAGGACAGAAACUGGUAUUCUUGAGUGUCGGAGAGGAAAGUGGAAUUCCAAGUGUAGCGGUGAAAUGCGUAGAGAUUUGGAAGAACACCAGUGGCGAAGGCGACUUUCUGGACGAUGUCUGACGCUGAGGCUCGAAAGCUAGGGGAGCGAACGGGAUUAGAAACCCGAGUAGUCC
rnacentral:rRNA from 1 species